AUGUAAAGUGCCAGUGUUUCCUAAACCCAAAAUUGGGAUGCACAAUCUGCCAAAAAUAAGUGUCUGUGGGGAUAGCAAGACAGGCUAUUUUAAGUUGGAACUCCCCCAGAAAAUCUGGGGUGUAAGCUUCUGACAGCCACUGCAGGGGUUCGCUCUAAUGCAUUCUGCACAACCAAUUUUAGCUUUUGUCUCUGUGCAUUUCUCACACGUCCACAGCACCUGCCAGCAGUUGUGUGUGCACGUGCUCUGUGAUAGACAGGGAGUGGGGGAUGGGAAACCGGAAGCUCCCUCACGCGCAGGAAACACAGAACAUGCGGGGGUAAACAAUGAAGGCAGAGUUCUGUAAGGAAGUUAGAGGAUCUAGUGGGGUGUCUUGAGUUCUUCCCUCCUCUGCAUUCUCCCACUGAAAUAGAUCAGAAGACAGCUUCUCAAGUCAGAUGUCUCUAUGGAAUGAAUCUUGAGAAACAAAUCCGAUUGGCUGAGACAAGACUCUGAAUCGCUUCAUCUUGAAUGGACUCACCCUGGUCCGAUUAGCUGUAACCACAAGGGUAGAUCAUACAGUACAAAUAGUGCUGUCUAUCAGUGACUGGACCUGCCAAGCCUCAGCCGCCAAAUGGGUGGCUGCGAGACCCACGUAAGGAGUGGAUGUUAGCUGUCACUGGCAUGCUUUGGAUUGGAUUUGGAUGAAGGAUUUGUUGGCACAGAUUCAUCCGUGUUCCCACACCAGGAUCCCUUCAAGACCAAAUGCAAGGUCAAGAUGGUCUGUCGUCGGCAGAGCGGAUUUGGGAAACCAACUCAUAAUCUUGGCUUCAUAAUUAAGGGCUCUAACCCAGAACUCCUCAAACUUUAAUGUACACACAAGUCACCUGAGAUCUUGUUAAAAGGCAUCACAAAAAUAAAAGGAAUUAUAACUAUGGGUGGCAACAGAUGUUAACUAGACUUAUUGUGGUGAUCAUCUGGCAAUGUAUAUAUUGAGUCAUUAUGUUGUAUACCUGAAAGUAAUAUAAUAUGUCAGUUAUAUCUGAGUUCUUUAAAAAGCAAAAAA